GUCGGGAGAGGGUUAUAACUAAGACCGCGUAUUGAUGUGUUUGCAUACCCUAAUGAAUAUUUAAAUGAGCGUUAUCGUUUUUCAAAAGAUUCAUUAGUUUAUUUAACACGUCUUUUAAAACCGCAUAUCGCAAAUGUGACAAACCGCGGCUCUGCGCUUAGCACAGAAAACAUUCUGUGCAUAGCACUUAGGUUUUUUGCGUCUGGCCAUUUUUUGUACAGUGUGGGCGAUUCAGAGCAUGUGGGAAAGGCAACUGUGUGUAGAGCCGUUCGUACAGUGUGUCUGGCACUUAAACAGUUGUUACCCACGUUUGUACAGUUCCCUGGCCAUAAACCUCUGCUUGUUAUUAAAGACGAAUUCCACAGAGUGGCAGGUUUGUCCUUUGUAGUAAAAUAUAUGACGCAUAUUUAAUAUUUAGUCAUAUUAUUAAUAUUUAUACAUGUAUUCAUUAUGCACACACUUCAUACUUCCAUAACUUUCUGUUUCAGGGUUUCCAAAUGUAAUUGGGUGCAUUGAUGGCACUCACAUUCCUAUUAAAGCUCCAUCAAUAAAUGAGGGAGACUAUGUUAAUAGGAAAUCUAUUCAUAGUAUCAAUGUGCAGGUAAUAUGUGAGGCAACCCAAAUCAUCACCAAUGUCGAGCAAAAUGGCCAGGAUCUGUGCAUGAUGCCAGAAUUUUCCGCGAGUCAUCAUUAUGCCAGACAUUUCAGCAGGGACAGUACAAUGGUUACUUGCUGGGGGACAGAGGAUACCCUUGUCUGCCCUAUUUAAUGACACCCUACCCUGAACCUAAGCCUGGACCACAGACAUGGUUUAACCUGGCUCACAGCCGAACACGGGCCAAGGUGGAGAUGACUGUAGGGAUCCUCAAAUCUCGGUUUCAGUGUCUGCGUGGGCUCCGGGUUAGUCCAGAGAGGGCAUGAGACAUUAUUGUGGCUUAUGUUGUGCUUCACAAUAUUGCCACUAUAAGAGGAGAGAGCCACCCUCCUUGUAUUGAGGAAGAUGGCCCAGAGGAACACCGACAGAUUUUAGAGGCCAACAGAGACGGAAGACUUUUGAGAGACAGGAUUUGUCAAAAUUACUUUUAUUAGGUUUUUUUUGCACUGGUCUGCCAGGCAGUUUAUUUCUUCAUUUCCUGAAAAACAAUAAAAGUACAAUU